rnacentral:rRNA from 1 species
UGAGGAAUAUUGGUCAAUGGGCGGGAGCCUGAACCAGCCAAGUCGCGUGAGGGAAGACGGUCUUACGGAUUGUAAACCUCUUUUGCCGGGGAGCAAAGGGCGCCACGCGUGGCGUUUCGAGAGUACCCGGAGAAAAAGCAUCGGCUAACUCCGUGCCAGCAGCCGCGGUAAUACGGAGGAUGCGAGCGUUAUCCGGAUUUAUUGGGUUUAAAGGGUGCGUAGGCGGGCCGGUAAGUCAGCGGUAAAAUAGCGGGGCUCAACCCCGUCGAGCCGCUUGAAACAUGCCGGUCUUGAGUGGGCGAGAAGUGCGCGGAAUGCGUGGUGUAGCGGUGAAAUGCAUAGAUAUCACGCAGAACCCCGAUUGCGAAGGCAGCGCACCGGCGCCCUACUGACGCUGAAGCACGAAAGCGUGGGGAUCGAACAGGAUUAGAUACC